GUGCUCCCUUUGGCAGCACAUAUACUAAAAUUGGAACAAUACAGGGAAGAUUAGCAUGGCCCCUGUGCAAGGAUGACAUGCAAAUUUAUGAAGCGUUGUUCCAUAUU